GUUGAGGUUAGCGCGUCGUGUGUCUUGUUGAGGUUAGCGCGUCGUGGGUCUUGUUGAGGUUAGCGCGUCGUGUGUCUUGUUGAGGUUAGCGCGUCGUGUGUCUUGUUGAGGUUAGCGCGUCGUGUGUCUUGUUGAGGUUAGCGCGUCGUGUGUCUUGUUGAGGUUAGCGCGUCGUGUGUGUUGUUGAGGUUAGCGCGUCGUGUGUGUUGUUGAGGUUAGCGCGUCGUGUGUCUUGUUGAGGUUAGCGCGUCGUGUGUCUUGUUGAGGUUAGCGCGUCGUGUGUCUUGUUGAGGUUAGCGCGUCGUGUGUGUUGUUGAGGUUAGCGCGUC